rnacentral:rRNA from 1 species
GCAGCACGGGAGCAUCCUGGUGGCGAGUGGCGAACGGGUGAGUAAUAUAUCGGAACGUGCCCAGUAGUGGGGGAUAGCCCGGCGAAAGCCGGAUUAAUACCGCAUACGCCCUGAGGGGGAAAGCGGGGGAUCGUAAGACCUCGCGUUAUACGAGCGGCCGAUGUCGGAUUAGCUAGUUGGUGGGGUAAAGGCCUACCAAGGCGACCAUCCGUAGCGGGUCUGAAAAGAUGAUCCGCCACACUGGGACUGAAACACGGCCCAGACUCCUACGGGAGGCAGCAGUGGGGAAUUUUGGACAAUGGGCGCAAGCCUGAUCCAGCCAUGCCGCGUGAGUGAAGAAGGCCUUCGGGUUGUAAAGCUCUUUCAGACGGAAAGAAAUCGCGCGCUCUAACAUAGCGCGUGGAUGACGGUACCGUAAGAAGAAGCACCGGCUAACUACGUGCCAGCAGCCGCGGUAAUACGUAGGGUGCGAGCGUUAAUCGGAAUUACUGGGCGUAAAGCGUGCGCAGGCGGUGAUGUAAGACAGAUGUGAAAUCCCCGGGCUCAACCUGGGAACUGCGUUUGUGACUGCAUCACUCGAGUACGGCAGAGGGAGGUGGAAUUCCACGUGUAGCAGUGAAAUGCGUAGAGAUGUGGAGGAACACCGAUGGCGAAGGCAGCCUCCUGGGCCAUACUGACGCUCAUGCA